rnacentral:ncRNA from 20 species
AUCUUAUCCUGAGAGGUGGAGGGAAAUGGCCCAAAGAAGCCUCGGCAACAGGUUCUAGCUUGAAUACUGUGCCAAAUCCAUCAAGUAUUCUAUGCUUGGUAGAUAAGAG